rnacentral:rRNA from 1 species
GCGUAGGUAACCUGCCUUGUAGCGGGGGAUAACUAUUGGAAACGAUAGCUAAUACCGCAUAACAAUGGAUGACACAUGUCAUUUAUUUUGAAAGGGGCAAUUGCUCCACUACAAGAUGGACCUGCGUUGUAUUAGCUAGUAGGUGAGGUAAUGGCUCACCUAGGCGACGAUACAUAGCCGACCUGAGAGGGUGAUCGGCCACACUGGGACUGAGACACGGCCCAGACUCCUACGGGAGGCAGCAUG